UACCCCGAUCCUACGUUGUCAAUGACGAACACACUGCAGUCAUCGUUUGUGUCUCUCGGCGGGCAGCUUCUUCCAGUUCGACGUCGCCGGCGAUCCAACCGGUCGCCGCCCGGCCAAUUUUUCCACUGUUAGUGAUUGUAUGUCCCAUGCCGGCGCCGCCGCCAUUGAUACAUCCGAGGAGUAUCAGUUCGCAGAUUUGGAAGCAUCAUUUACAAUGCCGUCCUUCGAACUUUCAAAACAAAAAACCCUUCUUAAAUCCUAAACCCUUCUCAACUGCACCUGAAAAAUGAAUGAAUCUAUUUUCUCUGGGAAUUUCGUACCUGGAACGAAAACAUUUUCAUAUCCGCCCUCGUCAUGAAACUCUUACCCACGAUUCUUGUACCGAUUUCCAAGUUCACUUCCAAGCGGCCUUCUUUUCAGUAUCUCCACGCCUCCCUGUUCACCUCCGCCUACGAAACUGCUAUUUCCAGUAAAAUCCUCACUAUCCUGGAGACUGUGAACCCAAUGGAGGAUGCUCUAGAACGCUACGUUCCUGUUCUCUCUCCUAACAUUGUGACUAAAGUUAUCCAUGAAGAGCGAAACCUUGAGUUGGCUUUUCGAUUCUUCGUGUGGGCAACGAGACGGAAGAGUCUGUACAAUUGGGAUUCGCACAAUCUGGUUAUUGAUAUGCUGGUCCGGGAUGAUGGGUUUGCAUUGUUCUGGAAAACUCUUGAGGAGCUGAAGAAUUCUGAGGUUCCAACACCUACGCAUUCUUUCGCUGUACUCAUUCAGGCUUACUCAAAGUCGGGCAUGGCUGAGAAGGCCGUGGAGUCGUUUGGUAGAAUGAAAGAUUUUAACUGUAGGCCUGAUGUGUUCACUUACAAUACAAUUUUACACGUUUUGUUCCAAAAAGGGGUGUUUUUGUUAGCAUUAGCAGUUUAUAAUCAGAUGCUGAAGUCGGAUUCUAGGCCAAGUCUGGCUACUUUUUCCAUUUUAAUUGAUGGUUUAUGCAAAACUGGCAAGACUGAAGAUGCCCUCCAAAUGUUUGAUGAAAUGACCCAUAGAGGUAUAUCGCCAAACACAAUGAUAUAUACUAUUGUUUUAUCUGGUUUGUGUCAGGCAAAUAGGACUGAUGAUGCACACAGACUGUUUUGUUCAAUGAAAGGAAGUGGAUGUGGUCCUGAUUUGAUUGCUUACAAUGCUUUGCUCAAUGGGUUUUGUAAAUUGGGCAGGAUUGAUGAAGCUCUUGUGCUUUUGCAGUCUUUCAGGAAGGAGGGGUAUGCUGUUGGGGUAAAUGAGUAUAGUUGUUUGAUUGAUGGUUUGUUUAGAUUGGGAAGAUACGAUGAAGGGCUUGAAUGGUACAGAAAAAUGUUUAAAGAGGAAAUUGAGCCUGAUAUUAUUCUGUACACUAUAAUGAUUCGAGGAUUUUCAAAAGGAGGCAAGGUUGAUGAUGCUUUGAGGUUAUUAAAUGAGAUGGCUCAGAGAGGUCUGGUUCCUGAUACCUGCUGCUACAAUGCCGUGAUCAAGGGAUUUUGUGAUAUGGGUCUUUUGGAUAAGGCUCAGUCCCUGCAACUUGAGAUUUCGAAUAACAAUUGUUUCCCUGACUCCUGCACUUACACCAUUCUCAUUUGCGGUAUGUGCAAGAGUGGGCUGGUGAGAGAAGCACAAAAAAUAUUUGAGGAGAUGGAGAUUCUUGGCUGCUUCCCUUCUGUUGUGACCUUUAAUGCUCUUAUUGAUGGGCUUUGCAAGGCUGGGGAGCUUAAAGAAGCCCACCUGCUUUUUUACAAGAUGGAAAUUGGGAGAAAUCCAUCAUUGUUCCUUCGGCUUUCUCAAGGGACUGAUCGGGUUCUUGAUAGCACUAGCCUCCAGUCAUUAGUGGAGCGAUUAUGUGAUUCCGGAUUAAUUCUUAAGGCUUACAAGCUUCUCAUGCAACUUGUUGAUAGUGCAGUUGCACCGAACAUUAUGACUUACAAUAUCCUCAUCAAUGGCUUUUGCAAAGCAAAGAAUCUAAAUGGUGCUUUAAAGGUUUUCAAGGAGCUUCAACUCAAAGGGAUGUCCCCUGAUUCUAUUACGUACGGAACCCUUAUAGAUGGGCUUCAAAGGGUUGGCAGAGAAGAUGAUGCUUUUGAGGUUUUUAAUCAAAUGAUAAAGAAUGGGUGCACGCCAAGUUUGGCAGUUUACAGAUCACUCAUGAGUUGGUCGUGCCGGAAGGGGAAAGUUUCAUUAGCUUUUAGUCUUUGGUUGAAGUAUCUAAGGAGCCUCCCUGGACGGGGAUAUGAUGCUAUCAAACUAGUAGAGGAAUAUUUUGAGAAAGGAGAAAUAGAAAAGGCAGUCCGAAACUUACUUGAAAUGGAUUUUAAGUUAAAAGAUUUUGAUUUAGCUCCUUACACCAUUUGGCUUAUUGGGUUGUGUCAGGCAGGAAGACUAGAUGAUGCCUUAAAAAUAUUUUCUGUUCUUGAGGAGUAUCGGGUCAAUGUUACUCCUCCUAGCUGUGUAAUGUUGAUUGAUGGUUUGUGCAAAAGCGGGAAUCUGGACAUGGCUACAGACAUUUUCCUUUAUACACUGGAGAAAAGUUUAAUACUGAUGCCGCGAAUUUGCAACCGGUUGCUCAUAUCUCUUCUUUGUUCUGAGGAUAAAGCUGGAUAUGCCUACGGUCUUGUUAGCAGAAUGAAGUCUGUGGGGUAUGAUUUGAAUGCCCUUCUUUACCAUAAGACAAAGUUUCUGCUGCAGAACCAUUGGAAAAGGCGGAAAGUGGAAAAUUUUUCACCUGGAUAAAUUAUAGCAAUUACAGAGAGGCAUUGAACUUUUUCUCCUUUGCACUCUGACCUUUCCAAUGCGCUGCUGCCAUGAAGAAUAUUGUUGUGAAACAAAGGCACUGUGGCCCAAUUUUCUCAAGUCUCAACCUUGAAAUCCCCAUUAAUUCAGGAUGACAAAUUACAGCGGGUUGACUGUCCUGAUGGCUAUUUCACUGCUGAUCUUAUCUGGGUGUUGGCUAGAGAGAAGAAUCCUCCUGCCCAGUGGAGAAUGCUGUUUGAUUUAAGGAGUACAUUCCUAAGCAUCCUUUUAUUAUGUGGUUUGCUGUCUUAAGCAGCAUCAACACUCCUGCUACAAUCUCCAAUUGGGUUAACCACUCUACACUCCGUCACUUAAGCUAUAACCGAGCAGGGAGUAGCAAUCAUUUGUUCUUUGAAUGUGUCAUCACAGACAAAUCCAUAGGAAGGCUGCAGAUGCUCUUAAAUUCCUAUAGGUUUUUCGCUUCUUGAAGGAUGAUAUUGAAAGGUUUCUUUACUUCAAAACAGUGCCUUUCUGGUGUCACAAGGCUGGUUCUGGCUGCUGGAGUCUACCACCUGUGGAGAUCAAGGAACUCAAACAUUUUUGAAGGCUCUAUUAUCAAUUCUUGCAAUUGUUUUCUUCCUUCUGUUGUAUUUUCUUUUUCUCCCUUUGAGCUAAUUAUUCAUCCUUACCUUCAAAAAAGAAAAAAUGCAGUAGUGUGGUAAUAAUUUUUUGACAGUAUUUUUGAUAUCUUAUACAUUCUGUUUCCCUGUCAUUUCAAAGGGCAUUGUCACUUUGAAAUUUUAAUGGUUUGGGAUUUUGUGUUAUUUUCAAGAGAAUACUGCAAUUUCAACUUUUUUUAGUUAAAGUGUUAAUCUAACAUGGUACCAAAGCUGGCUACCAGGAGGUCCUGUGUUCUAGUCUUGUUGCCCGCGUUUGUUAUUUGGUGUUUAAAAAACUAUUGUAUUCCUUGUAA